rnacentral:sRNA from 1 species
CGACUGGUCUAUGUCCUAGUAGUGUCGUGCCUAUGGACUCGCUUCCGCACUCGGUGCAUUAUUCGCCGCGUAAGCGGCUCAGGUCCCGAGAAGCAUUGUCGGCCGCUCCUUCCGCUAGUAACACAGCCGGACAGGUCCUGCGGAUUCGACACCGCUUUA